rnacentral:lncRNA from 1 species
AUGGGCCUCUAUUCUGGGACUCACCCCAUCAGCCUCCCCUAUUUUCCCACUUACUCCAUCCCCACUGUGCUCAUCUCUCCCCUCCCCCAGGCUGGUAGAGAUUGGUGGACAACUCUUCAGAUCACCCUGCUCUCUUUGUCCAUUGACUUCUUGAAGCAAAGUCAGAGCUCUCUCGGCGUUCUCUGCCUGGAAGGUUAUGUUGCAGGAAGCGCCCAGCUCUGGCCCUGGGGUCAGAACACCUGGCCCCUGUUAGAUGCUGGGAUCACCUGCCAGCCAGCUCCUGGGAUCAGCUGUGCCCAUUACAAUUGUGUGCGCACAUGCGUGUCUUUCUCUCUCUCUGGACUCCUUCCUGACUUAAAAAGGAGAUCUGAGGUCAGCUCCCGACUGUGGAUUAGGCCUGCCUGGGUGGCCAAAGCCUCAGGACAUAAUCAGACCAGAGUGGAAGGACUGGAGUUAUGAACGUUGAGUCCCUCCCUCUCCCCCCACCCCAAUGGAUGGCAUUGUCCUCGGUAUCGCUGAAGAGGAGAGGACAGGAUAUUUAGAGAAACGUCUCCUUCAUCGGGUCGCCCAAGCUCUCUUUGGCUGUCUCCAUAUUGUGCAUUUCCCCUCCAACAUGGCUCUGGGUGCCAAAAGCAGAAUCCGGAUAGAUACGGGCCAUUUCCUCUGCAGCCGAACAAUAACAGAGGAUAAUUACCCAUUGAACACUGUUUACCGCUUUGCAUUUGGUUGCAGGUCUUGUGGCCAGGGAUGGUCACAGCCCGAGCCUCCCUAAUGACCUGGAGAGCAGAGCAAAGGACGCGAUUAUUCUGUUUAUUGAGAAUUAAAACAAAUCCGGUCAGAGGAGAAGUCAUCUGCUAUUUGGCUCUUCCCAAAAGCAAUUACCUGUAAUUGUGCUGCUUCAGGAAAGACAGUCCCUGGUAUUUGAGGUCCAAAACCAUUACAGCAACCUGAAAAGGCCCAGAGGAGACUAAUCAUAGCAUUUUUCUCAGAGCCCCAGCCACUGCACUUCCUUAUGAUUUGGGUUCAAUUGAUAGCCUAUGCGGCCCCUCGCAGGUGCAGAGAAUGGUGUGUGUGUUGGCGGAGGUGUGAGUGUUAAUGGGAAAAUUCUGCAAACCACCUUUAUUGAAGGUGAGACAGCCUGCUGGCCUAUUAGUUCAAAUGGUUUCAUCUUGUCCAGCUGAGCUGUGUUCAGGCUCUGGGGCUUCUUGUUGGCUUUGUAAAUUUGUAUGUGUUUAAAUUAAAGAUCCAAAUGAAAUGGGUUGGCUAUCGUGGCCCAUUCUGUGUGGGGAUUGAUUGUGAGGUAUAUUUCAAGAUGAUUUUUACUACUCACCGGAAAAAUACUGAGGCUGGUGAAUAAUUUACUUAGAGAANNNNNNNNNNNNNNNNNNNNNNNAUCCUAAUGGUAUUAUGACAUCCAUUCACCUGUGAGGUACUUAGUUUAGUGAGAGAUCAUAGGCUGGCCUUGGAGCCAAGUCCUGGUGAUGGCACUGAAGCCACCGCCUGUCUCAUCCAGGCUGCACGUGCCAGCAGGGAACCACAGCCACCAUCGAACUGUUCAUGGUUAUUGAUACAAUCACGUUUUCAGACUGGAUGACUGGAUAUCUCGUUCUUUCAUCCUCCUAUACCACUGCCAGAGGCAAUGUCCAGAUCUGAGGACAUUUAUGUGACAUUAUUCCAUGCGGUGUACAUCUUUCUGCUACAUGAACCAUCCCUCACCCCCGCAAAUUGCUGGGGGGGGGCCAUCAUCCCCAUUUCUUACCUAGAGAAACUAGGGUUCUGGAAGGCCCUUUGAAUGACAUGCAGGUUCCCUGCAAGUGUCUCCACAGGAAGCAAGUGCGCAGUUAUGACCAUUGGAGGUGCAGUGAGUGACCCAAUGGAAUUUGGGAUGCUGCGGUCAUUGGCACGCAAUGUGCUCAGCUGUCCCCAUCUGUGCGGAGAUGAUAUAAACUCAGUGAGGUUGAAACAUCUGCCUGCCCUCACUCAUCAUCAAGAUGGGUCUUGCUGCACAUCCAAGCAAAAUUAGACUGGCGAAAGAGCGACCUCAGAAUGCAAAGAAAAGCCAUUUCUCCUUGAUGCCUGGCCGAGACCCUCUGCGUAAACAGAAACACAAAGGAAUAUAAAAUCCAUAUUUCCAUGUGCUUGUCUUUUCCCUUAAUUACUGACUGUGG